UACGGAGGGAGCUAGCGUUGUUCGGAAUUACUGGGCGUAAAGCGCACGUAGGCGGCUUUUUAAGUUAGUGGUGAAAGCCUGGAGCUCAACUUCAGAAUUGCCUUUAAGACUGCAUCGCUUGAAUCCGGGAGAGGUGAGUGGAAUUCCGGGUGUAGAGGUGAAAUUCGUAGAUAUUCGGAAGAACACCAGUGGCGAAGGCGGCUCUCUGGACCGGUAUUGACGCUGAGGUGCGAAAGCGUGGGGAGCAAACAGG
rnacentral:rRNA from 1 species